CUUUCGAAUUGGUUAUCAAUGUUACUAGGUUGGUUAUUGUGGUUGUUGUUGUUGAUUUUGAGCGAGAUAAAUUCUCGGGAUGGCCUAUUUACAGGGGAAGUGCUGCCGAAUUUUCUGUAGAAUUUAAUGAUUAGUUUGGAAUGAAUGGCUUAAGUGCCCUUAGCUAAUGAUUGGAUAUUCGUUGGCAUAUUUGUAGACCUUGGGGAGCCCGAGGCGUAGAUUGGGAUUUACUUUAGAUUGGCUAUCUUGGAGUGCGUACGAGGUACAGACGCACAGUUUGGUGAUCUACCCAUUUAGGACAUCCUCUUCUGCUGUUUGGAGUGCUCUUCUCAUUUCAGAGCACACAUUUUGGUAUACAUUUGUUCGCUAUGUAUAUAUGUAUUUGUUCAGGGGUACGGCGGGGCCCUGUCCCGCCAUAUGAUUCGGUUUGUCUGUUUAGAGGUCUGUAGACGUAUUUGUGGGUGUGUGUGCCUACUUCUGUACAGUUGUGUUUAUAUGAUUCUAUUCGUUAUGGCAGCCUUGUCGGCGUGCAUUCGUAUA